GUGAGUCAUCGAAUCUUUGAACGCAUCUUGCGCUCCUUGGUAUUCCGAGGAGCAUGCCUGUUUGAGAGUCGUGACUAUCCUCAAUGACACUUUUUAUUGAUUUAGAAAGUGGCAUUGGACUUGGGUGACGCCGUGCCCUGACACGACCCAUCCUAAAUAGAUUAGCGAUCUGACCCCUGAUCAGAGACGGUGUGAUAAAAACAAAAGCAUUGUCGGGAUCUCGGCGCCAGUGGUCGCUUCUAAUCGUCUGAAAGGACAAGUUCAUGUGAUUUUGACCUCAAAUCAGGUAGGAGUACCCGC
rnacentral:misc_RNA from 1 species